rnacentral:rRNA from 1 species
UACGAAGGGUGCAAACGUUGCUCGGAAUUAUUGGGCGUAAAGCGCACGUAGGCGGCCUUGCAAGUCGGAUGUGAAAUCCCUCGGCUUAACCAAGGAAGUGCAUCCGAAACUGCAGAGCUUGAGUACUUAAGAGGAUCGCGGAAUUCCCGGUGUAGAGGUGAAAUUCGUAGAUAUCGGGAGGAACACCAGUGGCGAAGGCGGCUCACUGGACUGGUAUUGACGCUGAGGUGCGAAAGCGUGGGGAGCAAACAGG